GUCAGUAUGGCCGAGUGGUCUAAGGCGCCAGACUCAAGAUAAUUUCUUGCCUCUUCGUGAGGUUUAAGAGUGAUCUGGUACACGUAUGUGUGCGUGGGUUCGAAUCCCACUGCUGACA
rnacentral:tRNA from 2 species